rnacentral:rRNA from 1 species
CGUGUAGGCGGGAAUGCAAGUCAGAUGUGAAAUACCGAGGCUUAACUUCGGAGCUGCAUCUGAAACUGCGUUUCUUGAGUGUCGGAGAGGAAAGUGGAAUUCCCAGUGUAGCGGUGAAAUGCGUAGAUAUUGGGAGGAACACCAGUGGCGAAGGCGACUUUCUGGACGAUAACUGACGCUGAGGCGCGAAAGCGUGGGGAGCAAACAGGAUUAGAUACCCUGGUAGUCCACGCCGUAAACGAUGGAUACUAGGUGUGGGAGGUAUCGACCCCUUCCGUGCCGCAGUUAACACAAUAAGUAUCCCACCUGGGGAGUACGGCCGCAAGGUUGAA